rnacentral:rRNA from 1 species
GAUGAACGCUGGCGGCGUGCCUAAUACAUGCAAGUCGAGCGAACGGACGAGAAGCUUGCUUCUCUGAUGUUAGCGGCGGACGGGUGAGUAACACGUGGAUAACCUACCUAUAAGACUGGGAUAACUUCGGGAAACCGGAGCUAAUACCGGAUGAUAUUUUGAACCGCAUGGUUCAAAAGUGAAAGACGGUCUUGCUGUCACUUAUAGAUGGAUCCGCGCUGCAUUAGCUAGUUGGUAAGGUAACGGCUUACCAAGGCAACGAUGCAUAGCCGACCUGAGAGGGUGAGCGGGCACAGGGGAACAGAGACACGGACCAGACGACUAAGGGAGGGAGCAGUGGGGAAUGUGCGAUAAUGGGCGAAAGACUGACACAGUAAUGCCGAGUGGGAGAAGAAGGUAGUCGGAUCGUAAAACUCUUUAAAUGGGGAAGAAGAGAAGGGAGAGGAAAACGGCCGGGCUUGAAGGUACCAAAAGAGACAGCCCCGGCUAAGUACGGG